rnacentral:rRNA from 1 species
CCUAUGGGUGGCAGCAGUGGGGAAUAUUGCGCAAUGGGCGAAAGCCUGACGAAGCGACGCCGCGUGAGGGAUGAAGGUCUUCGGAUCGUAAACCUCUGUCAGCAGGGAAGAACGGUCACUGUGCUAAUCAGCAGUGAAUUGACGGUACCUGCAAAGGAAGCACCGGCUAACUCCGUGCCAGCAGCCGCGGUAAUAAGGAGGGGGCGAGCGUUAAUCGGCAUUAAUGGGCGUAAAGCGCCAGUAGGCGGGUGGUCAAGUCAAGGGUGAAAUCCCCGCGCUCAACGUGGGAACUGCCUUUGAAACUGGCAAACUGGAGUGUGUGAGAGGAUAGUGGAAUUCCAGGUGUAGGAGUGAAAUCCGUAGAUAUCUGGAGGAACAUCAGUGGCGAAGGCGACUAUCUGGCACAUAACUGACGCUGAGGAGCGAAAGCGUGGGUAGCAAACAGGAUUAGAUACCCUUGUAGUC